rnacentral:lncRNA from 10 species
CGGAGGGGCGCCGAGGCGCCGGCGGCGGGGAAGGGGGGGAAGGACGGGGGGAGGGGAGAGGGGGGGAGGGGGCGGGUGGGGAGAGAAGCAGCAGAGUCACUUCACCGACCAGACGCCGCGGCCACCGCCGACGCCGCCGCCAUUUUAACAGAGCGCUCGGGCUGCGCUCGGCUCUUUCCGCCCGGGCUUAGGAGCGGACGAGAGGCGCCUCGCGCUCUCAUUCCUCCGCCUCCCUCCCUUUCUCGCCUCUCCUCCGCCCCCCACCUCUCCCUCCGCACACACGCCGCACGCUCCACACCCCGCCGUGGCCGGCUCGCCGCCCUCCCUUUCCUCUUCCGUCCGGCCUCCCCGCCCUCGGUCCACCCCCUCCGCGCGCUCGCCCACCCCGCCCAGCCCGGAUCUCUGUCAGCGGCCGGAAGGGAAACGCGAAGCCAGCGCGGCCGCGGGGGGAGUCCGGUUCCUUGAAGGUCCUCCGUCCUGGAGCAGUAAGAUCCUUGACGUAACUAGAAAUGGCAGGAUGCUAAGUAGAGUUAGACAAGAAGUGCCCUCUAAUCCCAAAUAAAGGUAAAAUGAGUCAAAAUGCCACAGGAGGAAUUUGUUUCUUGAGAACAAAAGGUAUCUUAGGAACAUGUUCAUUUUACACAACUGCUGCAUUUACUAGGAACAAUAACCUUAGAAAUCUUGUUUGUAAAUCAAGGGGUCCAACUUCAUUUAAAAUGUUACUUGAUGCUUAAACACAAAUACCCACUAUCAUUAAUAUAGGAAUAAAUGAG